rnacentral:rRNA from 1 species
AUUGAAUGCUGGCGGCAUGCCUUACACAUGCAAGUCGAACGGCAGCGCGGGGCAACCUGGCGGCGAGUGGCGAACGGGUGAGUAACAUAUCGGAACAUACCCUAGAGUGGGGGAUAACGUAGCGAAAGUUACGCUAAUACCGCAUACGCACUAAGGUGGAAAGUGGGGGAUCUUCGGACCUCAUGCUCAUGGAGUGGCCGAUAUCUGAUUAGCUAGUUGGUGAGGUAAAGGCUCACCAAGGCGACGAUCAGUAGCUGGUCUGAGAGGACGACCAGCCACACUGGAACUGAGACACGGUCCAGACUCCUACGGGAGGCAGCAGUGGGGAAUUUUGGACAAUGGGCGCAAGCCUGAUCCAGCAAUGCCGCGUGCAGGAUGAAAGGCCUUCGGGUUGUAAACUGCUUUGUACGGUAACGAAACGGUUACGUUUUUAAUUAAAGUAGAGACUAAUAGACGGUACCGUAAGAA